rnacentral:tRNA from 1 species
GGGUCCGUAGCUCAGUUGGUUAGAGCAGUUGCCUUUUAAGCAACGUGUCGUGGGUUCGAGUCCCACCGGACUCAC